UUAAGCGACUAAGCGUACACGGUGGAUGCCCUGGCAGUCAGAGGCGAUGAAGGACGUGCUAAUCUGCGAAAAGCGUCGGUAAGGUGAUAUGAACCGUUAUAACCGGCGAUGUCCGAAUGGGGAAACCCAGUGCAAUUCGUUGCACUAUCGUUAACUGAAUACAUAGGUUAACGAGGCGAACCGGGGGAACUGAAACAUCUAAGUACCCCGAGGAAAAGAAAUCAACCGAGAUUCCCCCAGUAGCGGCGAGCGAACGGGGAGCAGCCCAGAGUCUGAAUCAGCUUGUGUGUUAGUGGAACGGUCUGGAAAGUCCGACGGUACAGGGUGAUAGUCCCGUACACCAAAAUGCACAGGCUGUGAACUCGAAGAGUAGGGCGGGACACGUGGUAUCCUGUCUGAAUAUGGGGGGACCAUCCUCCAAGGCUAAAUACUCCUGACUGACCGAUAGUGAACCAGUACCGUGAGGGAAAGGCGAAAAGAACCCCGGCGAGGGGAGUGAAAAAGAACCUGAAACCGUGUACGUACAAGCAGUGGGAGCACCUUCGGGUGUGACUGCGUACCUUUUGUAUAAUGGGUCAGCGACUUAUAUUCUGUAGCAAGGUUAACCGUAUAGGGGAGCCGCAGGGAAACCGAGUCUUAACUGGGCGUUAAGUUGCAGGGUAUAGACCCGAAACCCGGUGAUCUAGCCAUGGGCAGGUUGAAGGUUGGGUAACACUAACUGGAGGACCGAACCGACUAAUGUUGAAAAAUUAGCGGAUGACUUGUGGCUGGGGGUGAAAGGCCAAUCAAACCGGGAGAUAGCUGGUUCUCCCCGAAAGCUAUUUAGGUAGCGCCUCGUGAAUUCAUCUUCGGGGGUAGAGCACUGUUUCGGCUAGGGGGUCAUCCCGACUUACCAACCCGAUGCAAACUACGAAUACCGAAGAAUGUUAUCACGGGAGACACACGGCGGGUGCUAACGUCCGUCGUGAAGAGGGAAACAACCCAGACCGCCAGCUAAGGUCCCAAAGUCAUGGUUAAGUGGGAAACGAUGUGGGAAGGCACAGACAGCCAGGAUGUUGGCUUAGAAGCAGCCAUCAUUUAAAGAAAGCGUAAUAGCUCACUGGUCGAGUCGGCCUGCGCGGAAGAUGUAACGGGGCUAAACCAUGCACCGAAGCUGCGGCAGCGACACUAUGUGUUGUUGGGUAGGGGAGCGUUCUGUAAGCCUGCGAAGGUGACCUGUGAGGGUUGCUGGAGGUAUCAGAAGUGCGAAUGCUGACAUAAGUAACGAUAAAGCGGGUGAAAAGCCCGCUCGCCGGAAGACCAAGGGUUCCUGUCCAACGUUAAUCGGGGCAGGGUGAGUCGACCCCUAAGGCGAGGCCGAAAGGCGUAGUCGAUGGGAAACAGGUUAAUAUUCCUGUACUUGGUGUUACUGCGAAGGGGGGACGGAGAAGGCUAUGUUAGCCGGGCGACGGUUGUCCCGGUUUAAGCAUGUAGGCUGGUUAUCCAGGCAAAUCCGGAUAAUCAAGGCUGAGGUGUGAUGACGAGGCACUACGGUGCUGAAGUAACAAAUGCCCUGCUUCCAGGAAAAGCCUCUAAGCAUCAGGUAACAUCAAAUCGUACCCCAAACCGACACAGGUGGUCAGGUAGAGAAUACCAAGGCGCUUGAGAGAACUCGGGUGAAGGAACUAGGCAAAAUGGUGCCGUAACUUCGGGAGAAGGCACGCUGGUGUGUAGGUGAAGUCCCUGCGGAUGGAGCUGAGACCAGUCGAAGAUACCAGCUGGCUGCAACUGUUUAUUAAAAACACAGCACUGUGCAAACACGAAAGUGGACGUAUACGGUGUGACGCCUGCCCGGUGCCGGAAGGUUAAUUGAUGGGGUUAUCCGUAAGGAGAAGCUCUUGAUCGAAGCCCCGGUAAACGGCGGCCGUAACUAUAACGGUCCUAAGGUAGCGAAAUUCCUUGUCGGGUAAGUUCCGACCUGCACGAAUGGCGUAAUGAUGGCCAGGCUGUCUCCACCCGAGACUCAGUGAAAUUGAACUCGCUGUGAAGAUGCAGUGUACCCGCGGCAAGACGGAAAGACCCCGUGAACCUUUACUAUAGCUUGACACUGAACAUUGAGCCUUGAUGUGUAGGAUAGGUGGGAGGCUUUGAAGCGUGGACGCCAGUCUGCGUGGAGCCAACCUUGAAAUACCACCCUUUAAUGUUUGAUGUUCUAACGUUGGCCCCUUACCGGGGUUGCGGACAGUGUCUGGUGGGUAGUUUGACUGGGGCGGUCUCCUCCCAAAGCGUAACGGAGGAGCACGAAGGUUAGCUAAUCCUGGUCGGACAUCAGGAGGUUAGUGCAAUGGCAUAAGCUAGCUUGACUGCGAGCGUGACGGCGCGAGCAGGUGCGAAAGCAGGUCAUAGUGAUCCGGUGGUUCUGAAUGGAAGGGCCAUCGCUCAACGGAUAAAAGGUACUCCGGGGAUAACAGGCUGAUACCGCCCAAGAGUUCAUAUCGACGGCGGUGUUUGGCACCUCGAUGUCGGCUCAUCACAUCCUGGGGCUGAAGUAGGUCCCAAGGGUAUGGCUGUUCGCCAUUUAAAGUGGUACGCGAGCUGGGUUUAGAACGUCGUGAGACAGUUCGGUCCCUAUCUGCCGUGGGCGCUGGAGAAUUGAGGGGGGCUGCUCCUAGUACGAGAGGACCGGAGUGGACGCAUCACUGGUGUUCGGGUUGUCAUGCCAAUGGCACUGCCCGGUAGCUAAAUGCGGAAGAGAUAAGUGCUGAAAGCAUCUAAGCACGAAACUUGCCCCGAGAUGAGUUCUCCCUGAGACUUUAAGUCUCCUGAAGGAACGUUAAAGACGAUGACGUUGAUAGGCCGGGUGUGUAAGCGCAGCGAUGCGUUGAGCUAACCGGUACUAAUGAACCGUGAGGCUUAACCU
rnacentral:rRNA from 1 species